GUGUAAAUCACCUGGAGAUCUUGACAAAAAUGUAGAUUCUCCUUUAGGGUGUGAGGUUCUGCAUUUCUGAUGUUCUCUCAGAUGAUGCCAAU
rnacentral:miRNA from 1 species